GUACUGCUGUAUUGCUGUAUUGCUGUAUUGCUGUAUUGCUGUAUUGCUGUUCUACAGUGCUGCUGUGCUGUUUGUGCUGCAGUGCAGCUGUGCUGCUCUACUGCUGUGUUGCAGUGCUGCUCAUGCUGCUGUACUGCUGUACUACGGUGCUGCUGUAUUACUGUACUGCAGUGCUGCUCUACUGCAGUGCUGCAGUAUUGCCGUGCUGCUUGCGCUGCUUGUACUGCCUUACUGCUGUGCUGCUCGUGCUGCUGUUCUGCAGUACUGCUGUGUUGCAGUGCAGCUGUGCUGCUCAUGCUGCUCGUGCUGCUGUGCUACUCGUGCUGCAGUAUUGCAGUGCUGCAGUGCUACUCAUGCAGCUGUGUUGCUGUGCAGCUGUGCUGCUCAUGCUGCUCUGCUACUUGUGCUGCAGUACUGCAGUGCUGCAGGUGCUGCUGCACUGCUGUACUGCUGUGCUGCUCGUGCUGCAGUGCAGCUGUGCUGCUCUACUGCUGUGUUGGAGUGGUGCUCAUGCUGCUGUGCUGCAGUGUUGCUGUGCUGCUGUAUUACUGCACUGCAGUGCUGCUCUACUGCUGUGCUACUCGCGCUGCUGUGUUGUGGUGCUGCAGCGCUGCUCGUGCUGCAGUGCUUGCAGUGCAGCUGUGUUGCUGUGCUACUCGUGCCGCAGUAUUGCAGUGCUGCAGUGCUGCUCGUGCUGCUGUGAUGCAGUGCUGCUCUACUGCAGUGCUGCAGUGCUGCUCAUGCUGCAGUGUUGCAGUGCUGCAGCUCACCCUGCUCCAUCUCAUCCCCUCCACACAUCUCAGCUCAGCUCAGCCCCCGCAGC
rnacentral:lncRNA from 1 species